GAACUGUGAUCCUCAGAUCUCAGUCUCCUGAGUAACUAGGAUUACAAGCAUGAACUACCAGUGCCAGGCUGAUUGAAAAAAAAUUCUUUUAACCUUGAAAUGCAACUUUCCAUAUACUCAAUAUUCAUACCAUUACUAAAGAUUCAUGUUAGGUUGGCUUGCUGCAGGGCUGGAAACAGAGGUGACAACUCAGUAUUUUACAGAUGUGGCUUUUUGGAAGCUCUUCACCCAACAUCAUUGACAAAGGGAUAGUACUGAGCACAGCACAGAACGUAGUGCAUGUAGAUUUGCACAGUCUGAUGGGUGUUUUAUUGAUUUAGGCCAGCACCAUAAUAUACAUAUUUUCACCUGCUAAUAAACAAGAGCAUCAAGUAUCAUAUUCCCUGGUAUUACAACUUGCAAAUGACAACAGAGAGCUUCUCCAAUGUAAAUAAAGAUA